GCUGGGACAGCGUCCUCAGGAGCCUGAAGCGCCAUGCAGCUGCUGACACAGUAAUGAGCUGAGCAUGAAGACAGAUUCCCGCCUAAACUUGCUGGACGACGGGACCCUGAUGAUCCAGAACACACAGGAGACGGACCAGGGUAUCUACCAGUGCAUGGCAAAGAACGUGGCCGGAGAGGUGAAGACGCAAGAGGUGACCCUCAGGUACUUCGGGUCUCCAGGAACAACAACCCUAUUUAGUAUACUAGUCUGAGCAUGUGGGUGUAGCUCCCUCAGAUACACAUGAAGUCUCCCGCCAUCCGGUGCAUAGGGAGUCACUGCAGUGUGGGGGAACCAGCCCUGAGAAGCCCAGAAGCCUAGGCCGGGCUGACACACUGCAGCCUGCAGUCCACACCUGCCUACUGCCUGUUUUUCCUAAGCUCGACCCACUUUUGUAAUCCAGCCACAGAAUACAGAGGUGCUGGUUGGGGAGAGCGUCACGCUGGAGUGCAGCGCCACAGGCCACCCCCCGCCGCGGAUCUCCUGGACGAGAGGUGACCGCACACCCUUGCCAGUUGACCCGCGAGUGAACAUCACACCUUCUGGCGGGCUUUACAUACAGAACGUAGUCCAGGAGGACAGUGGAGAGUAUGCGUGCUCUGCGACCAACAACAUUGACAGCGUCCAUGCCACCGCGUUCAUCAUCGUCCAGGCUCUUCCUCAGUUCACUGUGACGCCUCAGAACAGAGUCGUUAUCGAGGGCCAGACCGUGGAUUUCCAGUGUGAAGCCAAGGGCAACCCACCGCCCGUCAUCGCCUGGACCAAGGGAGGUAAGAGCCAGGCCCCAGCCCUUUGCCUGCUCCCUCUGCGGCCACAGACCCAGGAAGCACACAUUUCCACUGUGCCCAGGCAACCCCAGCGUGUUCUGGAUAGGGCUGAGCUGGGACUGGAUUCCACAGGACCAAGGCACUGGGAAGCGCAGAGGUGUCUGCACACCCCCCGCGGCUUCCUGUCCAUGCAUGGCCGUCCCUCAUGGACAUCAUGGCAGGAAACUCUAAGAGGCUGUGUCAUUACGGAAGAGACUUGGGGUUCCUGCCUUUGACUCCCUCACACCUGCCUUGUUUCAGAUAGUCUCUAGGAUGUGCUUUUAAGUAGCAUCUUGAAGGAAUCUAUUUGCAUAGAGGAUAGAAUUUUCUGGAAACAGUCAUGGAAUAUGUUGAAACAGACGAAUAGCUUUUGCUCUGACUUUGCUUCCCAGAGCCCUCACUGUCACCUCCCCAUUCGGCAUCAUGACCUUUUAUCACAUUCUUUGCCUACGGUCCUAGCCCUCUUCCUUCAAUGGGAAAGUCGCCAGGCACGUUAUUGCAUAAAGGCACAGCCUGGAUGGGGGUUGGGGUGAGGGGAAGAGCUGAAACUGCUGGAGAAGGAGCUACGCAGACCUCCUGGUUCCUGUCCUGGGAUGCAGGCAGUGACCCUGAGACCUCCUGGCCACUCCAGCUUGCACCAAAUGGCCAGCCCAUCCCUUCAGCCCUCUGAGGGGCCCCACCCAGGGCUCCUGAAAGUCUUUGGGGGAGGAGGCUUGUGCCUGCAUCACACGCCCUGGACUUCCCUUUUCUCAGGCAGUUAUGGGCGAGAACAGGAGAGGUUUAUACCCUAAAGGAAUGUGCUGGGGCCUCACUUGACUCUUCAUCAUCUCCAGCACUCAAUCCUCUCCCCGGUUCUCCCAGCUGGCCAUCCACCCCCCUCUGACUCCCCGAGUCCCCAUGUCCUCCUGACUCCCUGUGUAGUGCUUUUCCCUCUGUUCUCUGCCCCUGUCAACCCCUCUGUCUCAGUUAUGGGUGCGGGGACAUUCAGGUAUCACCAUGGUGUCUGCUGGGGAGGCAAAGAUUUGCUUAUGCAGGGCCAGGCCGAAUUAUUCGGUGCCCUGACCCAGGUGGAGACAAGCUUCUGUGAUCACACUGUCAGUUUGAGAGCAGGAGUUCUCCAUACGUCCGAGCGUCCAGUGUAAUGGACCCAUGCCCUCGCAGGGAGCCAGCUCUCCGUGGACCGACGGCACCUGGUCCUGUCAUCGGGAACGCUUAGAAUCUCCGGAGUUGCCCUCCACGACCAGGGCCAGUACGAAUGCCAAGCUGUCAACAUCAUCGGCUCCCAGAAGGUCCUGGCCCACCUGACUGUGCUGCCCAGAGUCACCCCAGUGUUUGCCAGCAUUCCCAGCGACACAACGGUGGAGGUGGGCGCCAAUGUGCAGCUCCCGUGCAGCUCCCAGGGUGAGCCUGAGCCAGCCAUCACCUGGAACAAGGAUGGGGUUCAGGUGACAGAAAGUGGAAAAUUUCACAUCAGCCCUGAAGGAUUCUUGACCAUCAACGACGUUGGCCCCGCAGACGCAGGUCGCUAUGAGUGUGUGGCCCGGAACACCAUUGGGUCGGCCUCGGUGAGCAUGGUGCUCAGUGUGAACGUUCCUGACGUCAGUCGAAAUGGAGAUCCGUUUGUAGCUACUUCCAUCGUGGAAGCGAUUGCGACUGUUGACAGAGCUAUAAACUCAACCCGAACACAUUUGUUUGACAGCCGUCCUCGUUCUCCAAAUGAUUUGCUGGCCUUGUUCCGGUAUCCGAGGGAUCCUUACACAGUUGAACAGGCACGGGCGGGAGAAAUCUUUGAACGGACAUUGCAGCUCAUUCAGGAGCAUGUGCAGCAUGGCUUGAUGGUCGACCUCAACGGAACAAGUUGUAUGGCUCGACACUCAACAUUGACCUGUUUCCGGCGCUCAUGGUGGAGGACCUGGUGCCAGGCAGCCGGCUGGGCCCCACCCUGAUGUGUCUUCUCAGCACACAGUUCAAGCGCCUGCGAGAUGGGGACAGGUUGUGGUAUGAGAACCCCGGGGUGUUCUCCCCGGCCCAGCUGACUCAGAUCAAGCAGACGUCGCUGGCCAGGAUCCUAUGCGACGACGCAGACAACAUCACCCGGGUGCAGAGCGACGUGUUCAGGGUGGUGGAGUUCCCUCACGGCUACGGCAGCUGUGACGAGAUCCCCAGGGUGGACCUCCGGGUGUGGCAGGACUGCUGUGAAGACUGUAGGACCAGGGGGCAGUUCAAUGCCUUUUCCUAUCAUUUCCGAGGCAGACGGUCUCUUGAGUUCAGCUACCAGGAGGACAAGCCGACCAAGAAAACAAGACCACGGAAAAUACCCAGUGUUGGGAGACACGGGGAACAUCUCAGCAACAGCACCUCAGUCUUCAGCACACGCUCAGAUGCACCUGGGACAAAUGACUUCAGAGAGUUUGUUCUGGAAAUGCAGAAGACCAUCACAGACCUCAGAACACAGAUAAAGAAACUUGAAUCACGGCUCAGUACCACAGAGUGCGUGGAUGCCGGGGGCGAAUCUCACGCCAACAACACCAAGUGGAAAAAGGAUGCAUGCACCAUUUGUGAAUGCAAAGAUGGGCAGGUCACCUGCUUCAUAGAAGCUUGCCCCCCUGCCACCUGUGCUGUCCCCGUGAACAUCCCAGGGGCCUGCUGUCCAGUCUGCUUACACAAGAGGGCGGAGGAAAAGCCCUAGGCUCCUGGGAGGCUCCUCAGAGUUUGUCUGCUGUGCCAUCGUGAGAUCAGGUGGCCGAUAGCAGGGAGCUGCAGGCUGCAGACCAGGAAACACCCAGAACUCGUGACAUUUCAUGACAACGUCCAGCUGGUGCUGUUACAGAAGGCAGUGCAGGAGGCUUCCAACCAGAGCAUCUGCAGAGAAGGAGGCGGAGCAGGUGCCCGAAGGGAAGCAGGCAGGGGUCCUAGCUUCACGUUAGACUUCUCAGGUUUUUAUUUAAUUCUUUUAAAAUGAAAAAUUGGUGCUACUAUUAAAUUGCACAGUUGAAUCAUU
rnacentral:sRNA from 1 species